rnacentral:rRNA from 1 species
AUGAAGAAUCUGGGCAUCACUGAGGAUGACCUAGAUGAUGUGGUUUUCGAGGAGCAAGAUGUACCAGCUGAAGUAGCAGUGCGGUGGAUGGCCAUCGCGAGAGUCCACACCCCGAAGAACUACAGCCAAUAUUGGUUCUUCCGUAAUAUGAGGGCUGCCUGGGAUCUAGCAUAGGAGGUAAAGAUCCGUCCGCUCGAAGAAAAUAUGUACACUAUGCAAUUCUCGUGCCUCGGCGAUUGGGAG